CACGUAGGCACCAAGCGUUGUCCGGAUUUCUUGGGCGUAAAGAGCUCGUAGGCGGUUGAGUAAGUCGGGUGUGAAAACUCUGGGCUUAACCCAGAGCCGCCACCCGAUACUGCUCUGACUUGAGUUCGGUAGGGGAGCAGGGAAUUCCUAGUGUAGAGGUGAAAUGCGCAGAUAUUAGGAGGAACACCGGUGGCGAAGGCGCUGCUCUGGGCCGAAACUGACGCUGAGGAGCGAAAGCGUGGGUAGCAAACAGG
rnacentral:rRNA from 1 species